GACGAACGCUGGCGGCGUGCUUAACACAUGCAAGUCGAACGGAAAGGCCUGCUUUCCCUUGUGGAUUGCGGGUACUCGAGUGGCGAACGGGUGAGUAACACGUGAGUGAUCUGCCCCCAACUUGGGUAUAAGCCUGGGAAACUGGGUCUAAUUCCCGAUAGGACUGCAGGGUGGUGCCUGUGGUGGAACACGAUUUUCUAGUGGUUGGGGAUGAGCUCGCGGCCUAUCAGCUUGUUGGUGGGGUAAUGGCCUACCAAGGCGGCGACGGGUAGCCGGCCUGAGAGGGUGGACGGCCACAUUGGGACUGAGAUACGGCCCAGACUCCGACGGGAGGCAGCAGUGGGGAAUAUUGCACAAUGGGCGGAAGCCUGAUGCAGCGACGCCGCGUGGGGGAUGACGGCCCUCGGGUUGUAAACUCCUUUCGACCGCGAGGAAGCCACCUGGUUGGAAGGGUGGUGACGGUAGUGGUAGAAGAAGCACCGGCUAACUACGUG
rnacentral:rRNA from 1 species